rnacentral:siRNA from 1 species
GGACCGAGUGCCGCUCACGCC